GAGUUUGAUCAUGGCUCAGGAUGAACGCUGGCGGUAUGCGUAACACAUGCAAGUCGAACGAAUGACAAACUUUAUGUUUUUUUAGUGGCGAACGGGUGAGUACUACGUGAGAAUGCUACCCUUAGGAGGAGGAUAACCGCUGGAAACAGUUGCUAAUACUCCGUAUGUCGUACGUACAAAGUACUUGAGAGAUUAUAUAAUGUAAAUCCUGUAAGGGUCGUUGCCUAAGGAUGUGCUCACGGCUGAUUAGCUAGUUGGUAGAGUAAUAGCUUACCAAGGCCACGAUCAGUAGCUGGUUUGAGAGAAUGGUCAGCCACACUGGGACUGAGAUACGGCCCAAACUCCUUCGGGAGGCAGCAGUGAGGAAUUUUCCGCAAUGGUCGAAAGACUGACGGAGCAAUACCGCGUGGGGGACGAAUAACUGGAUGUUUGUAAACCUCUUUUUUCAAGAAAGAAUACUGACGGUACUUGAUGAAUAAGCAUCGGCUAACUCCGUGCCAGCAGCCGCGGUAAUACGGGGGAUGCAAGCGUUAUCCGGAAUUAUUGGGCGUAAAGCGUCUGUAGGUUGUUUAUAAUAGUCCGUUGUUAAAUACUAGGGCAUAACCCUAGAAAAGCGGUGGAAUACUAAUAAACUAGAGUAUGGCAGGGGUAGAGGGAAUUUCUAGUGUAGCGGUGGUAUGCGUAGAUAUUAGAAAGAACACCAGUGGCGAAGGCGCUCUACUGGACCAUAACUGACACUGAGAGACGAAAGCUAGGGUAGCAAAAGGGAUUAGGUACCCCUGUAGUCCUAGCCGUGAACGAUGGAUACUAGGUAUUGGACGCCAGUAUCGUAGCUAACGCGUUAAGUAUCCCGCCUGGGGAGUACGCUCGCAAGGGUGAAACUCAAAGGAAUUGACGGGGGCCCGCACAAGCGGUGGAGCAUGUGGUUUAAUUCGAUGCAACACGAAGAACCUUACCAGUUUUUGAUUUUAUGAGUUUCAGGGCAGUCGUAUAUACUGUAAAUUACUGUAAACAGGUGGUGCAUGGCUGUCGUCAGCUCGUGUCGUGAGAUGUUGGGUUAAGUCCCGUAACGAGCGCAACCCUUAUUUUUAAUUGCUGACAAGUUACGACAAACUAUGCAGGUUUUAAAGAGACUGCCGGUGACAAGUCGGAGGAAGGUGAGGAUGAGGUCAAGUCAGCAUGCCCCUUAAAUCCUGGGCUACACACGUGCUACAAUGGUUAAGACAAUAAGUUGCUGGGUCAAAUUUUUUUUGACGAACAAAAUUCGAAAAGAAUCAAUGUAAAAUCGUUCUGGCUAAUCCUAAACUUAGCCUCAGUUCAGAUUGUAGGCUGCAACUCGCCUGCAUGAAGUUGGAAUCGCUAGUAAUCGCCGGUCAGCUAUACGGCGGUGAAUUUGUUCCCGGGCCUUGUACACACCGCCCGUCACACCACGGGAGUUGGCCAUACCCAAAAACGUUUACUUAACUAAUUGGUAAGUGUACCGGUAAAGAAGCGUCUAAGGCGGGGCUAGUGACUGGGGUGAAGUCGUAACAAGGUAACC
rnacentral:rRNA from 1 species